rnacentral:rRNA from 1 species
AACACAUGCAAGUCGAACGGUGAAGCCUUUCGGGGKGGAUCAGUGGCGAWCGGGUGAGUAACACGUGGGCAAUMUGCCMUGCACUSUGGGACAAGCCCUGGAAACGGGGUCUAAUACCGGAUAUUACCUGAGGGGGCAUYUUCUCGGGUGGAAAGYUCCGGCGGUGCAGGAUGAGCCCGCGGCCUAUCAGCUUGUUGGUGGGGUGAUGGCCUACCAAGGCGACGACGGGUAGCCGGCCUGAGAGGGCGACCGGCCACACUGGGAMUGAGACACGGCCCAGACUCCUACGGGAGGCAGCAGUGGGGAAUAUUGCACAAUGGGMGAAAGCCUGAUGCAGSGACGCCGCGUGAGGGAUGACGGCCUUCGGGUUGUAAACCUCUUUCAGCAGGGAAGAAGCGCAAGU